rnacentral:piRNA from 1 species
UACCAACAAGCCAAGAAGCAAAUGGGUAGAC